CGAACGGCUCCGUAUAUCUGUUUUAACCUACCGCCGCUCAACCCCAGCGGCAUAACCACGGUAAUUCUGUGGCUAAUACGUGUACUACGGCGGCUGCCAGGGCGCAAGCCCCGGCGGCCCCGGUCUUGCCGGUCGACCAACGGCGGGUUAAACCGCUAGCGUGAGUGCCGGCAAGGGUACCUGACCGCAGCACUAGCUGCGGCACGAGCGGUGGGAAUCAGACCUAUCAACUAGAUGGCCGGGUAUUGUCCGGCCAUGGUUAUAACGGGUACAGAGGAUCAGGGUUCGGUCCUGGAGAGGUAGCCUGAGAGAUCGCUACUACUUCUAAGGAAGGCAGCAGGCGCGCAACGUUCCCAAUGGGGGCACCCUGAGGACGUGAAGGGACAUAUCAAUGCCCGGCCCUUAAAGCCGGGCAAUUGAAAUGGGGGACCUUUAAACCCCACACCGAGUAACGAUUGGAGGACAAGUCUG
rnacentral:rRNA from 1 species